AACGAACGCUGGCGGCAUGCCUAACACAUGCAAGUCGAACGAGACCUUCGGGUCUAGUGGCGCACGGGUGCGUAACGCGUGGGAAUCUGCCCCUCGGUUCGGAAUAACACAGAGAAAUUUGUGCUAAUACCGGAUAAUGACUUCGGUCCAAAGAUUUAUCGCCGAGGGAUGAGCCCGCGUAAGAUUAGCUUGUUGGUGGGGUAAUGGCCUACCAAGGCGACGAUCUUUAGCUGGUCUGAGAGGAUGAUCAGCCACACUGGGACUGAGACACGGCCCAGACUCCUACGGGAGGCAGCAGUGGGGAAUAUUGGACAAUGGGCGAAAGCCUGAUCCAGCAAUGCCGCGUGAGUGAUGAAGGCCUUAGGGUUGUAAAGCUCUUUUACCAGGGAUGAUAAUGACAGUACCUGGAGAAUAAGCUCCGGCUAACUCCGUG
rnacentral:rRNA from 1 species